UACUGUGUCCGAAAAGCAUCAUCAGGCAUAGUAUGAAACCCUUUACAUAGAAAGGACUAAUAGAAGAAACAAGGCCUUGGUCCAGAUACGUUUAUUUCCUUUCUUAUGUAUCCCCCCAGUCACAGACAUUGUUAUAACUAGUGUAGAACUCAGUAACUUCCUGUAUUUUCCUUUUCAGAAGGAAUUGUUGAUAAUGUUAACUAAAUAAUACGUGGAAGGCGGUUAGCACAGACUUGCCAUGAUAAUAGUCACACUCAUAGAGCACUUAUAUGGGGCAGGCAUUGCUCUUGGUGCUUUACAUCAAUUAAUUCAUUUCACCCUCAUAAUAGUCCUGUAAGCAACUGAGGCACAGAGAGGUUAAGUAAUUUGCCUUUGGUUAGACAGCCCAGCAAGAAAAUUGGAGACCCAGGAUUCAAGCCCAAGCAGUCUAGCUCCAGAGCCUGUUUUCUUAACCACUGUGCUGAAGGUGUUGAAAACUGUGCCCUUUCCCACCCCUUCUCUUCCUUCCCUCAGUGAUGGCACUCAGAACGUGGUGUGACAAUUAACUGAAAAGAAAAGAGAAUCCUGGGUCCCACCCUAACCUAUGGCUUUAUCUGUGGAUUUGAAGGUUUGAGGUAUACCUAUAAGGAGCUACUGAUGCCUUCUGGAAACUAUGUGUGGGUUGCUACUGAGAGAUCAUGACCAUUUGCCAUGAUUGUGUGUAGUCACGGGAUAUACAUAGAUUCUCCGGCAAGCGCCUCCUGAGGACGAUUUUAGUCCCAACUGUGGAUCCUAUUAAGUAGAACCUUGACUCAGCAGACAAGGCUGAUGGUUAGGGGUGUAAUGGGCCCCACCUGACGGAAGGAAGGGUCAGCCUGACAACUGUUUGAGGAUCGUUGGUAGGCGAAGGCUCUUGGCACCUCCAAGCCCCGAGGCAUGACAACCAAUGCUACCUCAAAGUGAAUCGGGAGGCUCUGCCCCAGGCCCAGGCCCCCAGUAGCCUGUUGGGGACUGCAUUGUGUUUCGUGCUGUUUCAGGUUAAACCAGCACGCCUCAAGUUUGCCAGACCUAGCACCCCAACAACAUGUACCCCCAGCUCACACAUGGAAUGUUUGCUGUGUGGCAGCCAGGUGCACUUGGAACCGGCACGGAUGAUCUCAUAAAGCAGGGAAGCUGAACAGUUAGUCAGAUGAUUAACACGUUGUUGAGAUGGAGGAGGUGAGCGUCAUUUAAUGAAAAUAUCUGGACGCUGCAGAAUCAGGAGUUUCCACAUUGGGGGCAGCUUAGGAACCAUCUUAUCCGAAGUCCGUAUUUUACAAAUGUGGAAACUGAAGCUUUAAAAAAGAUGGAGGGAGGCUACCUGAGUGCAGGAAACGAACACGUCUUGACUAACCUCAGCAUUUAGCUGGGAUGCGCCCAGGAUGCCAGUGUUCCCCAGGAACUCCGUGUGAAAACCACUGAACUAGAGUUUGGAAGUUAAAAAAACUGCUCAGCCUCCCGCCUCUGCGAAGUUUGCCCAUCUGUCUGGAAAAAGGCAGUGCAGGCCAUGUUUUUCCCAAGCAAUAGAAAAAGCCAGUCUCAACAAAGCGAGACGUUUGUCCUAAGAAGCUGGAAGUUUACUUAAGAGAUAUUUCAACAACCUAUGUCUUCGAAAGUGGGGGAAUUUUUCUUGGAGUAUACCUGCACCAGUAUGCCCACCUUGACUUAAUCGUAUGGGGGUCUACAAGUCUUGUUCAUAAAAUGUGUCGAGCUCGAGGAAGAAAAGGUAAGAAGAUGAGUUUAUUAGACCUUGGCAAAACAAAACAAACAAAACGCCACAACCGAGCAAACAACCUCAUCCACCUGUGGUUCCCUCCGUGGCUGACACUUCACAUUCCCAUAGCAUUUUCCUUGUAUAUAUCACUUAGCAUCUAUCUUUUGUUAAAGGGCUUCUUGAUUUUGUUUGUUUUUAAAGCUGUUGUUCUAUCAGGUUGUAAAUGCCUGGAGAGGAGGAUCUCCAGACAUCCUGCCUUGUUUUCUUCACAGUCAGGGAUGAUAUUCAAGAUAGUUAACACCCAGUACAGAACAGGAACCAACCAAAUCAAAUGGACACUGGUCUCAGCAAUUUGUACAGCCAUACUGGUAUAUGCAGCUGAGUAUGUUUUCUGCACAUAGAAGGCUUCCAAUAAACGAUUGUUGGAUUGAAUUUCAUUGGUUUGGUGUCCUGGCCCUGGCAUCUAAUGGCUUUCUUUCAGAAUUCAGGCUACUUUUUCUUGCCAAGAUAUGACCAUAACCAUUUUUCCUCCUUGAUUUAAUCCUGCAAGAGUCUUUGAGUAAUUGUGAAGAACUUUGUGAGUUCUUCAAACCUGCACUGUCCAAUAUGGUAGACACUAGCCACAUAUAUAAGGUUGCUAGAUAAAAUAUAGGACACCUAGUUAAAUUUGAAUUUCAGAUAAAUAAAGAAUAAAUUUGUAGUGUAAAUGUGUCCCAUGCAAUAUUU